GACCAAGACACGAAGGGCGUAGCGUGGAUGCCUUGACGGGAGAUGCCGAUGAAGGGCGUGGCGUGGCUGCGAUAAGCCCCGGGGAGGUGCUGAGCAACCUUUGAUCCGGGGAUGCCCGAAUGGGGAAACCUAUGCCGUGCGAACACGGCAUGCGUCNNNNNNNNNNNNNNNNNNNNNNNNNNNNNNNNNNNNNNNNNNNNNNNNNNNNNNNNNNNNNNNNNNNNNNNNNNNNNNNNNNNNNNNNNNNNNNNNNNNNNNNNNNNNNNNNNNNNNGGGGGAACCUGGCGAAGUGAAACAUCUCAGUAGCCAGAGGAAAAGAAAACAAGAUCAACUUCUCAUUUUGGUUCGAGGGCGAAAUCUCGAAUCUCUAAUCUCGAAUCUCUAAACGGAUUCCGUUUAGGGUUUAGAGAUUAGGGUUUAGGAUUUUACCGAGGAGCGAAGCGACGAGCUGAUUCCAUUCCCGUAGUAGCGGCGAGCGAACCGGGAAGAGCCCAAACCCCGUUUUCUGUAGAUUUAUCUAGGGGAGGCGGGGGGUUGUAAGACGAAGACGAUUCCUUCAAGGAGGAGAGCGAAAAGUUGAAAGUUGGCUAGCCGAACGGCCUGGAACGGCCGACCAGAGAGGGCAAACGUCCCGUAGGCGAAAACCCUUUCACGCUCUCUGUUUUCGUUCUUGAGUACCUCGGGGAACGAAAGCCCCGGGGGAACCUGGCAGGCCUAACCUGCCAAGGCUAAAUACGUCUUCCGAUCGAUAGUGAACCAGUACCGUGAGGGAAAGGUGAAAAGCAGCCCGGUGAGGGCGGUGAAAAAGAACCUGAAACGCUAUGCCUACAAAGAGUCGGAGGCCCGGUGCUUGCACCGGGCUGACGGCGUGCUUUUUGCAGAACGAUCCAGCGAGUUCGUGCGCCCCGCUUGUUAAAGUCGCUGAGGCGACGGAGGCACAGGGAAACCGAGUCCGAAUAGGGCGUGCCCUUUACUUCGCAAAGGGAAACUCUAAACUCGAAACCCUAAACCCUAAGACGGAAACGUUUUAGGAUUUAGAUAUUAGGAUUUAGGAUUUCCCCAAUGCGGAGCAUUGGGAGGCGGUGCGCACGAGACCCGAAGCCAGGUGAGCUACCCGUGGCCAGGGUGAACCCCGUGUAAUAGCGGGGGGAGGCCCGAACCCGUUGGCCGUGCAAUACCAUGGGAUGAGCUGCGGGUAGGAGUGAAAAGCUAAUCGAACCUGGUAAUAGCUGGUUCUCCCCGAAAUGUGUUUUGGCACAGCGCUCUGCAGCAACCGCGGGGGUAGAGCACUGAAUGGAUGUCAUGGGGGCAACCUCGGAUAUUCAAUCAAACUCCGAAUACCGCGUGCCAAGUGCAGAGUAGUGAGACCGCGGGGGCGAAGCUCCGUGGUCGAGAGGGAAACAGCCCAGACCGUCGUCUAAGGCCCCAAAGUCAUCGCUCAAUGCAAUAAAGGAAGUGCGGCUUCUCUGACAGCGAGGAGGUUGGCUUAGAAGCAGCCACCCUUGAAAGAAAGCGUAACAGCUCACUCGUCCAGAGGCUGCGCACCGAAAAUGUCCGGGGCGAAGCGAUGCGCCGAAGACACGGAACCUUGUGCUUCGCACAAGGAAUCUCUAAUCUCGAAUUUCUAAUUUCUAAGCGGACGACGUUUUAGAAAUUAGAGUUUAGGAUUUAGGGUUUCCUCGCGCGAAGCGCGNNNNNNNNNNNNNNNNNNNNNNAUUGCGUUGAAGUUGAACCGUAAGGUUUGGUGGAGCGAUCGGGAGUGAGAAUGCUGGAAUGAGUAACCGCAACCCCGGUGAGAUCCCGGGGCGCCGAAAGCCUAAGGGUUCCGUGGCAAUGGUGAUCAACCACGGGUGAGUCGGCCCUAAGGGGAACCCGAAAGGGGUACCUGAUGGACAGCAGGUUAAUAUUCCUGCACUUCUGCGUCGUCCGAGGGAGGGACGGAUUCUAGUAACCGAAACGCGUUAUCGGAUUCGCGUUCGUUGCUUAAGGGGGUCUUCCAGGGAAAUCCGGAAGGCAUUACUCCAAGAGCUGCGAGAAGGUCUGCCUACGGGUUGGCCAACUUCGGCGAGCAGGGUUCCGAGAAAAGCUUCUAAGGAUAACGGCGCGGAAACCGUACCGCAAAACCGACACAGGUAGGCGGGUGGAGUACACUAAGGCGAACGGGUGAUUCUUCGUUAAGGAACUCGGCAAAAUAGUGGCCGUACGUUCGCAAUAAGGCCUACCCUGCCAACAUGAGAUUACAUCAAAGUGGAUGGCGGGGUCGCAGCGAAAGACCCCUGGCGACUGUUUAUCAAAAACACAGCUCCCUGCGAAGCCGCAAGGCGCGGUAUAGGGGGUGACGCCUGUCCAGUGCCGGAACCUUAACGGCAGCGGUGUUCUGUUUGCGAUUAUCUCAAUAACAGAUUGCUUAUGCCCGAAGGGCCGGUGAACGACCGCGAUAACUAUAAUCGUGUUAAAGUAGCGAAAUUCCUUGGCAGGUAAGUUCUGUCCCGCACGAAAGGCGUAACGACUGGGGGACUGUCUCAACGAAGAGCCCGGUGAAAAUGCAAUACCCGUGAAGAUGCGGGUUACCCACAGAAGGACAAGAAGACCCCGGAAGCUUCACUACAACUUGGUAUUGUGUACGCGUUCCGAAUGCGUAGCGUAGGAGGGAGGCUUUGAAGGCCCGUUUUCGGACGGGCUGGAGCCGCCAAUGAAACACCUCUCUUUCGGAAUACGUAUGCUCACCCGAUGCUCUUCGCAGGAGUAUUGGGGACAGUGCCUGGCGGGUAGUUUUGGUGGGGUGCUAUCCUCCCAAAGAGUAACGGAGGAGCUCAUUAAGGUCGGCUAGCGCCGGAUGGACAUCGGCGCGAUAGGACAAACCCAUAAGCCGGCUUUACUGCAAGGCGGAUAUGCCGCGCAGUCGCGAAAGCGGGAGUUAGUGAACCGACCGUUAUCCCGAUGAUCCUUGAGCUUCGGUUCGAAGAUCGUCGGGACUCUGUAGAACGGCGGAAGAUCACCAGAUAAAAGCUACUCCGGGGAUAACAGGCUGGUUCCGCCCGAGCGUCCAUAGCGACGGCGGAGCUCGGCACCUCGAUGUCGGCUCAUCCCAUCCUGGGGCUGGAGAAGGUCCCAAGGGUUCGGCUGUUCGCCGAUUAAAGGGAUACGCGAGCUGGGUUCAAACCGUCGCGAGACAGGUUGGACUUCUAUCCGCUGUGGGCGUGGAAUCUUGAGGGGAGCUCUGCCUAGUACGAGAGGACCGGCAGGGACUGACCUCUGGUGUACCGGUUGUCGCGCCAGCGGCAUCGCCGGGUAGCUACGUCGGGAAGGAUAAGCGCUGAAAGCAUCUAAGCGCGAAGCCAACCCCAAGAUAAGGAUUCAUAGCCCUCUUGGAGAAGACGAGUUUGAUCGGCGGUAGGUGAAAGGGCAGUAAUGUCUUGAGCCGAGCCGUACGAAUAGGGCGUUGUCUUGGUC
rnacentral:rRNA from 1 species